UCCAAAGGGGAUACCGUUUCAGCAGCCGCCGCAGGAGAUUUGGAUGUCGAGGCGCAUGAGAGGCGAUUUGGAGUUCCAGCAGCCUCCAGCGAUGGAUUUCCCCUAGAUCCAGUACCCGGGGCUGCAGUGUACGAAGGUGCCAGCGAGAACUUCGAUCCAGUGUAUCUCAACAGGGAAGAUGUGGUGCAGCAUGGCGACGGGGAAGCCUCCGCUGUCGUUGCAAAUUAAGCUUGUGGCACCAGCAGAGUCGGCGAUUGGUUUGAAGGUUGUUAUGGAGGUUGGAGAUGAAGCAGUUCAGUCAGGCGAUUCAGAAGAGAGUGUAAGGCAAGAAUCAACUCAGUUCGUACUCCGUAGUGAAGCCCGAUCCCAAAGCACCAGGAUGGUCAAAAAGGCUCAGGAUUGGCAAUGCACCAGUAGAGUGGACACCUUGGCCAGGCGCUUGAACAGUCUGUCACAGAGUUCGCUCCAAACCAGUCUGAAACUGUGAUUAAGCUUGAGCUUGGGAUGAGCUUUGACUCUCUGAACGAAAUGUAUGAUUUGUAUAAUCUGUUUUCUUGGGAAAAUGCUUUUGGUAUCAGGUAU